AGUCUUUUUAUUGUCACCAAGUAUUUUGAGAGCUCACACUGUAUCUUUGACACUACAUAUCAUCAAGCCAAAUUAAACAUAUUUAUUCUCUCAACAAGUCCUACUGAAUGCAGAGCCUCCCUUGAUAAAGACAGUAUGAAAAUCUUCCUGCUUUGCAGGACUUCUCUAUACCAUCUUUCAUAAUCCUGACCUGUGGCUAAAGAUCAGUUAAAUGAAUGGGACAAUGUAUGUAUCAUGUCACUGCACAAAAUGUUUGGUGCAUCUCAAAACUCUCCCCUUCCCCUCUUUUUAUUCCUAGGCUGAGCCUCCUGAAAAACACAUUUCUGUGUUUCUGUCUACUUUCCUAGGAAACCUUUCUUGACUGUUUGAUUACACUAUCUAAACUCAGUUCUAACCCACCCCUUGGAACGUGUAUUAACCACAGUAAUCAGUGCUAUAUGACACCAGAGUAAUCAGUGCUCUAUGAUGUAAUAUUACAUAAACAGCGGCUAAACCCAGCAAACACCUUUAUCUUGCUCAUGGCAAGGACCAAUAAAGCACUGGUCCUGCUCCAUCCUGUGUCAUCAGGACCCGCAGCUCCUCCAACUGUCUCAGCAAGCAAAGAGAAGACACAAGGAAGACUCCCCACGCUGACCCACUUUGGACUGGGAGUCAGCGCCGCUGCCAAGGGCAGAUGAAGCACUUUCACUACAGGGUUUGCUUCGGAAGGAAGAGCAAAUCUCCAUGGAGCUGUGCUGCCGGAAUCUAUUUGCUUGCAGGUAGAUAAAUGUAAAAGGGCAUCUCUCCUCUUGUCCAUCAUAAGCGGCUUAGAAAAUAAAAAGGUCAUCUGGCCUCAGGAUUCAUUCCCCUACCUCCACCUAUGCUUCCUAAAUGUAUUUUCUAAACUACUGGUAGAGGUUAUUUGUAAUUAGUAUGUUCAUUCAUUCAAUCAACAAAGUUUUAUUGUAAGCCCACAGGGAGACAUGCUGAAGAGUUGAAAAGACCAGUUCUGAAGCUAGACAGAUUGUCUCUGUGUCUCAACUCUGACACUUUAUCUCUGAGUCUCAGUGUUUUCAGCUGUAAAACAACAGUUCCUGUCUUAGUACCAGCAGUUCUCACUUUCUGGAGUGCUCCUCUUCUAGAGAGGCCCAUGGUUAACUGAGUCAUCUCCUUCAAGACCUUAAUGGCCUCUCAUCCUACACUAACCCUACGUGGACUCCUGACCCUUCUUUCCCUGACUUUUCCCCUUUUCACAGUACUCAUGACAUUGUAACAUGUUAUCUACAUCACUUACUUAUUUUGUCUACUGCCCAUAGUCUAUCUCCUCCUGCUAGGGUGUAUUAUGUAUCUCAAGAAUGUAAACAGUCACUGGCACAUAGCAAUAAUUUUGUAAUGCAAUAAUGAUUUAUCAUCUGAGAAGAGAUCCAUCAAAUAAUGGGUUUAUUUGCAGAAACAUGAUCCUUUUGGUCACUGAAAUAAUAAAAGGCUCACCAAAAAAGAGAAAUCAAAAAAUAAUUGCAGUCUAUGCCUUAUUAAUUUAAUCUUCAACAAUCAUUGUAGCUAGAUAGAUAUAACUAGCCCAAAGUUGUGACAUUAGUUCGUACUAGAACCCUGGGCUUAUUCCUGGCUUCUUUAGACUGAUUUUUUUUCCACCAUAUAAUGCAGUAGGAAAAUAAAAAAAAUUUUUGAGUAUGGCCAUUUUUAUUUUUUCCUGCUUUCAAUCAACAUAUUAAAUUUGAUGAGCUAUUCAAGAGGAAGGCUAAGUAGAAGUUUCAAUCAUAAUCAACAUAGAAAAAAAAACUUCUAAAAUUGAAUUAUGUGAAGCUCCUAGUAGUUAGUUCAGUUAGCUGCAGACUGAAAGAGUUUCCUCUCUAUGACAUUUUCCUCCACAAUUUGUAUUGAAGGCAGAUAAUCAAUAAUGGUGAAAGUGCUUGGCUUUAGGAAGUUAGACCAAAUGCAAUUGCCUUUGCUUCCCUUGCAUAUUGCUUCAUGCAAAAGCUCAACAUUGACAAUCUUAGCCUCUUCUCUCUGUUCCUCAAAGCUGAUGCUCUGAAAAAGGAUUCAUAGGUAAGCACUUUUGAUCUGCAAGUGUGGCUCUGCUAAGAAAUUGAUUUCUCUUGUGUUUUUGUUUUCCUGAGAAUUGGAGAUAAUCUUUCAGUAUUUGACAAGCUCUGGCAUCUGUUCUUCCUGUAUUCCUAGCAACAAUACAGUAAUAGGUAGAAUCCCCCAAAUUUUAUCUAGAAAAAAUUGUGUCAUAAUUAUAAUUAAGAGGAGAGGAAGCAACUUGCUCUACUCUCUUAAUCCAUAAUGCACUUAGUCCAUUAUUGGGCUACUCUAACAAAAUACCAUAAACUGGCUCAAAACAACAGAAUUUAUUUCUCACAGAUCUGGAAGCUGAAAAGUAAGAUCUAGGAAAUGGAAGACUUGCUCUCUGGUAAGGGCUCGCUCUCUAUUUCAUAGAUGGCUUCUUCUCACUGUAUUCUCACAUGGCAGAAGAGACAAUCGAGUUACCUCAGGCCUCUUUCAUAAGAGCAUCAAUCCCAUUCAUUUAAUAAUGACCUCGAAGCACGAAAGUAGUGAUGUUGGCAACUUAUUAC
rnacentral:lncRNA from 1 species